CAGGAGUCGAUGAAGGACGUGGUAAGCUGCGAUAAGCCACGGGUAGCCGCAAGCAGGCUUUGAUCCGUGGAUUUCCGAAUGGGGAAACCUACCUAGGGUAAUACUUAGGUACCCACUACUGAAUACAUAGGUAGUGAGGAGACAUACCAGGGGAACUGAAACAUCUAAGUACCCUGAGGAAUAGAAAGAAAAUUCGAUUCCCUAAGUAGCGGCGAGCGAAAGGGGAUUAGCCCAAACCUAAAAGUUAUCUUUUAGGGGUUGUGGAUAUAUUCAUUAAGAGUAAAGAAUUUGUAGCCGAAGAACUCUGGAAAGAGUUACCGUAGAAGGUAAAAGUCCUGUAGGCAAAACAAAGUCUAGCUUGAGUAUACUCCAGAGUACCACGAGACACGUGAAACCUUGUGGGAAGCAGGGGGGACCACCCCCCAAGGCUAAAUACUCCCUGGUGACCGAUAGCGUAUAGUACCGUGAGGGAAAGGUGAAAAGAACCCCGGAAGGGGAGUGAAAUAGAACCUGAAACCCUAUGUUUACAAGCAGUGGAAGUUCAUUAUUCGAACAACCACGUACUUUUUGUAGAACGGGCCAACGAGUUACGGUAUGCAGCAAGGUUAAGUAGUUAUGCUACGGAGCCGCAGCGAAAGCGAGUCUUAAAUGGGCGAUUUUAGUUGUAUGCCGUAGACCCGAAACCGGGUGACCUAUCCAUGAGCAGGUUGAAGCGGAAGUAAAAUUUCGUGGAGGACCGAACCCAUGUCUGUUGAAAAAGGCUGGGAUGACUUGUGGAUAGCGGAGAAAUUCCAAUCGAACUCGGAGAUAGCUGGUUCUCCCCGAAAUAGCUUUAGGGCUAGCCUUAAAGAAAGUGAUACGGAGGUAGAGCACUGAAUGUCCUAGGGGCCCUCACCGGUUACCGAAGACUAUCAAACUCCGAAUGCCGUAAUCAUAUCUUUAGGAGUCAGACUAUGGGUGAUAAGAUUCAUAGUCAAAAGGGAAACAGCCCAGACCGUCAGCUAAGGUCCCUAAGUACAGGUUAAGUGGAAAAGGAUGUGGGAUUGCACAGACAACUAGGAUGUUGGCUUAGAAGCAGCCAUUCAUUCAAAGAGUGCGUAAUAGCUCACUAGUCGAGUGAUCCUGCGCCGAAAAUUACCGGGGCUCAAACCUGUCACCGAAGCUACGGCUUGUCGUAGUAUGAAUACUGAUUUUAGAAAGAAGCAGAAAAGGUAAUUUAUACCGAAGGUAUCAUUAGAUACAAUCGGAGGCCUUCGGCCAAAUUAUCAAAAAGCUCAAACUAAAACUAAGGUUAGUAUUCAUGCUACGACAGGGGUAGGGGAGCAUUGUAUAUGGGUUGAAGUCAUACCGUAAGGAGUGGUGGACUAUAUACAAGAGAGAAUGUUGGCAUGAGUAGCGAAAGGCAGGUGAGAAUCCUGCCCGCCGAAUACCUAAGGUUUCCUGAGGAAGGGUCGUCCUCUCAGGGUUAGUCGGGACCUAAGCCGAGAACGAAAGUUGUAGGCGAUGGACAACAGGUUGAUAUUCCUGUACCACCAAAGAUCGUUUGAGUGAUGGGGUGACACAGUAGGAUAGGUCAAGCGCACCGUUGGUUGUGUGCGUCUAAGCCCGUAGGGAGUCUAUAUAGGCAAAUCCGUAUAGACAAUCCUAAAAGGUGAUGGGGAGCGAAAUUUAAGUAGCGAACUUACUGAUUCCACACUGUCAAGAAAAGCCUCUAGCGAGAUCCUAGGUGCCCGUACCGCAAACCGACACAGGUAGGUGAGGAGAGAAUCCUAAGGCGAGCGAGAGAACUAUUGUUAAGGAACUCGGCAAAAUGACCCCGUAACUUCGGGAGAAGGGGUGCCACGUUAGGGUGUUAAAGCCCGAGGUGGCCGCAGAGAAUAGGCCCAAGCGACUGUUUAGCAAAAACACAGGUCUCUGCUAAGUCGAAAGACGAUGUAUAGGGGCUGACGCCUGCCCGGUGCUGGAAGGUUAAGGGGACGUGUUAACGUAAGUGAAGCACUGAACUUAAGCCCCAGUAAACGGCGGCCGUAACUAUAACGGUCCUAAGGUAGCGAAAUUCCUUGUCGGGUAAGUUCCGACCCGCACGAAAGGCGUAACGAUUUGGGCACUGUCUCAACAAUAGACUCGGUGAAAUUGUAGUACCAGUGAAGAUGCUGGUUACCCGCAGCAGGACGGAAAGACCCCGUGGAGCUUUACUGUAGCCUGACAUUGGAUUUCGGNUCUAGUGACAAUAGCGAGGAGGCUACACCUGUUCCCAUAUCGAACACAGAAGUUAAGCUCUUCAGCGCUGAUGGUACUUGGGCGGUAGCGCCCUGGGAGAGUAGGUCGUCGCUAGUUUUUUUAUUCCAAGGUAGCUCAAUGGUGGAGCCAAAUAAUAAGGCCCAUUGGUCAAGCGGUCAAGACACCGCCCUUUCACGGCGGUAACCCGAGUUCGAUUCUCGGAUGGGUCACCAAAUUUUGGGCGCAUAGCUCAGCUGGGAGAGCACCUGCCUUACAAGCAGGGGGUCAUAGGUUCGAUCCCUAUUGCGCCCACCAAAAUUUCAUAUUCACAUCAUGCGGGUGUGGCGGAAUUGGCAGACGCACUAGACUUAGGAUCUAGCGCCUUGUGCGUGGGGGUUCAAGUCCCUCCACCCGCACCAUAUAAGAAAUAGCUAAGACAUUUUGUUUUAGCUAUUUUUUAUAUGUAUAAUAAAUUCAUUUGUUAGUGAAAAAACGGAUUAUUUCUUUAUAGACUUCCUCUCCAAUAGGAUUGUUAAUGUUUUGAUCAAAAUCAUGUUCUAAAUCAUCUACUUCAUAUAGUUUGACUUUUGGAAUAUUUUUGGCAUGGUAUUGAGCAAUAGAAAAAGGUACGUCUAAAUCUGUUUUACUGUGUGCUAAAAAUGUUUUGGGGAGUAAAGCUAAAUCAUUUUUUGUUAGAGAAAAAUAUGGAUCAAUAGGGUUUUCUAACAUGUCUCUUGCCCAUGUUCCAUUUUGUCUUGCAUAUACAU
rnacentral:rRNA from 1 species